ACCACUUUUGUUUGUACAAAAGAAACAUAACCAGAAUAUGAAUAGAUGAGUUUUUAAUUUAUAUUUAUAAUGAUAAAGAAUACAGUGAUCAAAAAGGAGAACAAACCUAACAACCCACUAUGUACCCACUAAAUUAUAAUUGGAAAAAUUAUAAACUCCAAUAUUUAUGAACACAGCCUUUCUUGAUAUAACUGGAACCUGGCUUUCCCAUGAAAUAUCAGAUCCUUGGAACCUUCUCAAGGGACACUACAUUUUUUCCCAAAACUCACCCACCACUGGCUUAUAGAUGAGGUGGUUUUCACUGGAAGCCCCAAGCUCAAGCUGUAUAAUCUGUCAUAUUACUGGAAAUGAACCCAGAUGUAAUUACAUUUUGAAAAGAGAUAACCGAACAUGUUUACAGGCUGAGAGAAAGCAUAGUUUAAAGAGUUAAAUGUAAAAUAAAA
rnacentral:lncRNA from 1 species